GAUCCCCCACACUGGUACUGAGACACGGACCAGACUCCUACGGGAGGCAGCCGUGAGGAAUAUUGGUCAUUGGAGGCAACUCUGAACCAGCCAAGCCGCGUGAAGGAAGACUGUUCUAUGAAUUGUAACCCUUCUUUUUGUGACAGAGUCACGAUAGCUACGCGUACUUACUUUUGCCAGUAUGUCAUGACUAAAGCAUCGGCUAACUCCGUGCCAGCAACCGCGGUCAUACGGAGGAUGCACGCGUAAUCCGGAUCUAUUAGGUUCACCGGGUGUUCAGGCUGUCUGGUCAGUCAGAGGUGCCAGUCGGUUGCUUAACGAUCGAAUUGCCUUUGCAACUGUCAGACUUGAGUAUGGAUGCGGUAGCCGGAAUGUCUAGUUUACCGGUGAAAUGCAUAGAUAUUACACAGAACACCGAUUGCGAAAGCAGCUUUACCAAACCAGCACUGACGCUGAAGCACGAAAGCGUGGGUAGCGAACAGGAUUAGAUACCCUGCUAGUCCACGCAGUAAACGAUGCUCACUCGCUGUUGGCAAUAGAUCGUCAGCGGCUAAGGGAAACCGAUAAGUGAGCCACCUGGGGAGUACGAUCGCAAGAUUGAAACUCAAAGGAAUUGACGGGGGCCCGCACAAGCGGUGGAACAUGUGGUUUAAUUCGAUGAUACGCGAGGAACCUUACCUGGGCUUAAAUGUACGAUGCAUAAGUGUGAAAGCACUUUCUCCUUCGGGACUUUGUACAAGGUGCUGCAUGGUUGUCGUCAGCUCGUGCCGUGAGGUGUCGGGUUAAGUCCCAUAACGAGCGCAACCCCUAUUGUUAGUUACCAGCGCGUAAAGGCGGGGACUCUAGCGAA
rnacentral:rRNA from 1 species